UACGUAGGGGGCGAGCGUUGUCCGGAUUUAUUGGGCGUAAAGAGCUCGUAGGCGGCUUAGCAAGUCGGGUGUGAAAACUCCAGGCUCAACCUGGAGACGCCACUCGAGACUGCUAUGGCUAGAGUCCGGUAGGGGACCACGGAAUUCCUGGUGUAGCGGUGAAAUGCGCAGAUAUCAGGAGGAACACCGGUGGCGAAGGCGGUGGUCUGGGCCGGCACUGACGCUGAGGAGCGAAAGCUAGGGGAGCAAACAGG
rnacentral:rRNA from 1 species